UUUUUUUUUUUUUUUGCCCCUUUUAUAAUAAUUUCCCUCCUUUCCCGCUAUAUAUAUAUGUCGGUUAAACCUAGAAUUCCAAUUACAAGCUGCAGUCGCAAUGGCCGUUGUAGAGGAGCAGCAGCCGUAUACUUCGCCUGCCGACGACAAAAAGAGGAAGAGGAAGCGGAAGGCAAACCGACCAAACAAAGUUGAUGCUGAAAAAGAGUUGGGUGAGGAAGAUUUGAAGGAGGAAGAAGAUGGGGAGAAGAAGGCGGAGAAAAAGGUCAAGUGCGGGAGUGGGAUUAUGAGUACAGAGUCCUUCGACUCUUUAGGGUUAUCUGAACCUACUCUAAAGGCUAUUCAGGAGAUGGGGUUUCAGUAUUUGACUCAGGUAUGUUUGGACAAUAGUGUUUUAUUUUCAAAUUUUUUUAGCUUGGAAUGACUUUUGCAACGGUGUGAUUCUAAGUUCCUUUUUCCAUCAUCCAAAUAAGCAUAACACUUUUUGCAGUUUUUCUUUUUAGUCGAGCCUAAUUUGAUCCCAUAUGAGCAAUUUUAUUAGCAUCUCUUUUAUGGCCUUGUUUUCGAAUUGAUAUUAUAAGCUGGUUGAUAUACUACAAGACUAAGACAUCGACUGUAAUUAUUCAUAGUAGUGCGCUUGUUGAUAUUCUAUAAAUUGUUUCCAAGAACUGGAAGUUUAUUAAUGCUUUUGUAAGUUUUUUGCUUGAUUCAUGAUGUUAUUUACCUGGUUGGAUAUCUUGUACAUAACUAUUUUAGCAAGAAUUUUGCACAACUUUAUAUUGAGGAAGACUCCAUUGGCAAUUUCAUGCUCAAAGCAGGAUUGUGAAAUUAUAAUUGUGUUAUUUUUUCCAUUCACACCAAGUGUUUAUAUAAGCUUUUUGCAAUUGGCAUUUCAUUUGCAACUGCAGAUUCAAGCCAGAGCAAUUCCACCCCUUCUAAUCGGCAAGGAUGUCCUUGGUGCUGCAAGGACAGGUUCUGGGAAAACACUUGCUUUCUUAAUCCCAGCUGUGGAGUUGUUAUAUAACAUCAGCUUCACUCCUCGCAAUGGAACAGGCGUUGUUGUCAUUUGCCCAACAAGGGAACUUGCCAUACAGGUGAAAUUAUUGUUAUAAACUUAUGCAUACUGAUUUUUUNNNNNNNNNNNNNNNNNNNNNNNNNNUUUUUUGCACUUCUUCCCAGUCCAGUAGUUAGUCCCGUACUGGCUUCCUUCCAUGCAAUAAUAACUUAUCAACUAGAGUGUUGAUACAAAUUAUCUUUAAGCUAGCAAUAGUCUCAGUACAAACUUUUGGUAUAUUUCUGGGGGAAGGGGAGUUUUGAUUGUGGAAGAAUGGAUUCAAAAGGUUAGUAUUACAUUAGUGAAAAAAUAGCUACAAAUUGCAUUAGCGGU
rnacentral:lncRNA from 1 species